ensembl:lncRNA
GUACACACUGCAUGGAAAUUUUCAGAGCCUAUAAAAAAUUACAUUCUACUGUAAUACCAACACCUUCUGAAUUUAGCCAGUGCCCCUAAGUGUGUGUAAUAAUUAACCUUAAGGAGGCUUUCUUAUGAGUCCUAUGGGUUCUAUAUUACUUUGCUUUUGAAAACAAUUAUUUGUUACAAAUUAAAACUCCCAGCUCUACAUUUAAGUGACAGGACACUCUUGUGGUUUAUGAUGUACUACCGGAUAAGCAUUUGUGUUAAACUGAUGUUUCAAGGAGAAUCAGUUAUAAUUGGAAUUGGCAACUGUGGCAGAUGUAUCUCUGUCUUAACCCUUUGCUUCAUUUCAUGGAAUGAUGUAACUAGUCUGAUCACUUUGCCUUUUUUCAUUGUCUGAAAUGACAGCUUAUUCACUGUGCUCUAACCAUUUGCAAAUAACAAAAAUUUGGUCAAAUGUACUUAAAACCCUUUAUGGAAGGAGCUGUAAAAUGGGAAAAAAAUUUGGUCAAAUGUACUUAAAACCCUUUAUGGAAGGAGCUGUAAAAUGGGAAAAAAGUAAUUGUGUCAUCAUGAUCCAUUAGACUGGAAAAUUUUAAUGCUGUAUUUGUUCUUAUGUUUGUUUUUGAGACAGGAUCUCCUUACAUAAUUCAGGCUGGCCUUGAACUCCAGAUCCUCCUGUCUCAGCUUCCAAAGUACUAGAAUUACAGGGGAAGAGAGACCCUUCUCAUGGAGAAGAUACUCAGUAAUUUCCCUGGAUGGUUAUUGCCAUUGGACUCCUCAUAACUGCUUUCUACUCCAAGCCUGAGAUGCUUCCUGCAAAAAUGCCUAGCCUGGGCCUGCCACGCAUACCUCAAAACUUCUGAACCAGUGUGAGGAGUCGGCCCUUCUUCCAGACCCUUCUCACUAACCAGUGCAACCUGAAGCAACUUUCCUUUCUUUUUGUGAGGCGCUGGUCUGUGCCCACAGAACCUGUUUUGGAUGUGGGGACAAGCCCUUCUUUCUUAUCCCAUCCCUAUUUUUCAGACUGAGUUGACAGAACAGACACCGGAUCAAGACUUUCUGCACCACCCACUAUAAAAGAAACAGCUGAAAAGCAGGAUUGUUGUAAUUAUGCCUCUGAACAGUACAGUACACACCUUUCCAAAACCACUCCUUCAUAUACACACACACUCCCUUCCUCCAAUUAAGUUCCUCCCUGACCACUGCAGAAAUUUUCUAAAGAGGGACAGCUGUCUCUUCUAAAGUCUUUAUUGCAUUCCAAUAGCCUUAUCUCCAUUGAAUUUUCUUAGCACUUUAAUUCAUCCUGAAUUUUCUAAGACCUUUCUGCUAUGGAGAAAAUAAGUUUUAGGGGGAUUAAAGAAAAUGAGUUAAAAUUCAGUCAGUCAUCCAGGCAGCCUUUAGAGAUGUUUGCUCUAUCCCAGGUCCUAGCUUCUCAAAUAUGAGUGGGAUCUAGUUUGAGGAGGAAUGUUGUCCUUUCCCUCCCUGAGCCUGCUUUCUUGUACUCAGGUGCUCCAGGAUUUAACUGGUGCUCACAACCUUUUUCGUCUUCACCCACCAUGAGGUCACCAAUAAGUCUUCAGGCUUCCCUAAUCCUCUAGAAACAUUUUACUGUCUGAAACCUACACUUGGCCCUCCCUCCUUUCUUCCUCUCAUGCUUUCCUCUCAUUGUUUUCUCAGCCAACCGCUCUAAGUACAGGGACACUAAGAAGUGAACAUUCUCACAGAACAUCCAGUGAGUUACCAAGCUAUGAAUCCCACCUCCUAACAUUCUGACAGCCCCUGCCCAGUUAGGCCUUGGCCACAGCUCGCUACUGGACCACCUCCACUCUCAGGACCUGGCCUCCAGAGUGGGAUGCUACAAUGGAUUUUUUUAUGGUUUUCAAUAGGUG